CUCGGCAAAUUAUCCUCAUAAGUUUGACGACAAGAGGUACCGAAAAUUAUAUUUUUUCGGUGGCACAGAAUCGGAGGCCCCGACUGUUUACUAAAAACACAACACAGUGCAAUCAUUAAUAUGGUAGUAUACUGUGUGAAAUUUGCCCAAUGCCAUUAAUAUAAGAGAAGUUAUGGUCUCAAAAACUGUGACUAAUCGAAAAUCUGGUUAAUAGCGGUCUUAACUAUGAGGAUCCUAAGGUAGCAAAAUCAGUUGGCCAUUAAAUGUGGUCCGGUAUCAAUAAUGUAACGAUGGUCUCACUGUCUCUACAACUUGCUCAGUGAAAUUGAAUUA
rnacentral:rRNA from 1 species